rnacentral:rRNA from 1 species
GAUGAACGCUGGCGGCGUGCCUAAUACAUGCAAGUCGAGCGAACGGACGAGAAGCUUGCUUUUCUGAUGUUAGCGGCGGACGGGUGAGUAACACGUGGAUAACCUACCUAUAAGACUGGGAUAACUUCGGGAAACCGGAGCUAAUACCGGAUAAUAUUUUGAACCGCAUGGUUCAUAAGUGAAAGACGGUCUUGCUGUCACUUAUAGAUUGAUCCGCGCUGCAUUAGCUAGUUGGUAAGGUAACGGCUUACCAAGUCAACGAUGCAUAGCCGACCUGAGAGGGUGAGCGGCAACACGGGAACUGAGACACGGACCAGACUACUACGGGAGGCAGCAGUAGGGAAUAUUCCGCAAUGGGCGAAAGCAUGACGGAGCAACGCCGCGUGAGAGAUGAAGGUCUUCGGAUCGUAAAACUCUGUUAUUAGGGAAGAACAUAUGUGUAAGUAACUGUGCACAUCUUGACGGUACCUAAUCAGAAAGCAACGGCUAACUACGUG